ensembl:lncRNA
UUAAUUCCUUCCUCCCAACCACCCUGGGAAAAAGCGGCUUAGGAAGUUGGACUUACUUGUAAUUAUUUGUAAUUUACUGUUAUUUUUAACUGCAUGGGAGAGGGUAGAAAUAAAGUCUUUCAUGUUUAGGGCCUCUAAAGAUCUAAAUGUGGCCCCAGGUCAUAAUUCAAAUAGGUUGGAUGUAAUCUGUGGUAAUAGCCCUAGUUUUGUUCCAAAUGUUACAUCAGAAAGGGGUGAUAAUGACUUCUAAAACAUGAAGGGCCAAUUAGUUUUGGCACUUUAUCUUAGGGAACAAUGUUUAAUACACAUUAGGAAUGAAAACUUUUUAUGGCUAGGUUAUAUUAAUCAGUACAGACUUAAUGUUCUGAAAUACCUAUAGCUAAAAAACAGUUCCAUUCAAAGAGAUUAAUCACAGUAUUUUAAGAAAUCUAUAGACAUUAUCAAGUGCUAUAAAUAAUGAUUUUACACUGUGAAAUUCUUUCUGAAUUGAAGGUUAUAUUCUUUAGUUUCUCAGAACGUGAAUUACUAUGUACACAUUUUGGAGAGCUUACUCUGCCAAAUCUUUCCCUGCUAAUUUGUGUGUGGUUUAUGAAGACCUCAUUAUCCCAGGUUCAAGAGAAUACUAGAGAUAAAAUAGCUUCUGGUUACUGUAUUCUCUGGAUUCUAAGAUAGACAAUCACUUUUGUUUCCUGAGCAUUAUUGAUAUUUUUAAAAAUCUCUGGGUAGAAAUUAUUUGCUGAGGCAUCUGCUAUUGACAUUCUAGACCUAUUGUACCCUUAUCAAGUGUGUGUUUAAUGCAUAGCAUCUAGGUCAUUUUAUAUCAUAUUUUGAUCUUUUAAAAUAUAGUUUGGGUAAAAACCUUUGAAUAUGAAAAUAAUUAAAACUUGAAAAAGUAAUUUCACAUUUUAAAAUUCACUAUCUUACUGAGGAAGGAAUUUAUAAAGACAUUCUGAUUUGCUGUGCUGACAAAUGAGAUCAUUGGUGAAGAAAAAUGUGCAGCUGACAUCUUGAUGCUGCAAUCUGCUGUCUAAAUAUUAAUUAAAACUUUAUUUUUUCUCUAGAAUCUAAAUUUGAUGACCGACAUUCCUUUUUAUAUUCCUUCUUUUACAGAUAUAAA